rnacentral:rRNA from 1 species
AGAGUUCGAUUCUGGCUCAGGACGAACGCUGGCGGCGCGCCUAACACAUGCAAGUCGAACGAGCGAGAGAGAGCUUGCUUUCUCGAGCGAGUGGCGAACGGGUGAGUAACGCGUGAGGAACCUGCCUCAAAGAGGGGGACAACAGUUGGAAACGACUGCUAAUACCGCAUAAGCCCACGGCUCGGCAUCGAGCAGAGGGAAAAGGAGCAAUCCGCUUUGAGAUGGCCUCGCGUCCGAUUAGCUAGUUGGUGAGGUAACGGCCCACCAAGGCGACGAUCGGUAGCCGGACUGAGAGGUUGAACGGCCACAUUGGGACUGAGACACGGCCCAG